GACGAACGCUGGCGGCGUGCUUAACACAUGCAAGUCGAACGGAAAGGCCCUGCUUUUGUGGGGUGCUCGAGUGGCGAACGGGUGAGUAACACGUGAGUAACCUGCCCUUGACUUUGGGAUAACUUCAGGAAACUGGGGCUAAUACCGGAUAGGAGCUCCUGCUGCAUGGUGGGGGUUGGAAAGUUUCGGCGGUUGGGGAUGGACUCGCGGCUUAUCAGCUUGUUGGUGGGGUAGUGGCUUACCAAGGCUUUGACGGGUAGCCGGCCUGAGAGGGUGACCGGGCACAUGGGGACUGAGGUACGGCGCAGACUCCUACGGGAGGCAGCAGUGGGGAAUAUUGCACAAUGGGCGGAAGCCUGAUGCAGCAACGCCGCGUGCGGGAUGACGGCCUUCGGGUUGUAAACCGCUUUCGCCUGUGACGAAGCGUGAGUGACGGUAAUGGGUAAAGAAGCACCGGCUAACUACGUG
rnacentral:rRNA from 1 species